rnacentral:lncRNA from 1 species
UAAUGCUGGUUAUAUGAAUUGUUUCUUGCAAUUCUAGAAGGGCUAAAACCAAUUUAAUUAAAAUUAAAAAGCAUGAGGUGUUUUACAUAUAAAACGAUCAAAUAUUUAUUUGUUUGUUACAUGCAAAUUAAGGACAAAUAAUAUGGCUGAAAUUCUAAAAAUUGUUUAUUUUUUCAUCAUCUUACUAUCCCUUAUUCUGGUUGUAACUAGCCAAUAUAGUAAGUCCAUUUUCACACCCAUUUAAAUGUUUUUUUUUCCUUUCGCACCAGUUUCCGACCCACCAAUGGUGGACGACUAAUCCGGCUCGUGCGUAGAGGCAUGCACAAUGGCCAAGCGUUGUUCCCCUAGGAAUCGAACUCGGUUCCUGCGCAACAAAGGAGGAGUGCAAAUGUCCUGAUAAUAAAAGACCAGCUUGUCUUUGGAAACAAUGUUAUUGCUAUUAAGUGACAAAUAAUUCUAUGUUACUUUUAAUAAGCUACUAAUAUUUGAUUUGCAUGUCAUAAUGUUUCCCCUAUUAUGAAAUUUCACACACUUUCAUUCAUGCUUUUGCGACAUUUCAAUUUCUUUUAAUAUAGUCAAAAGCAUGUUAUUAUUAUAUUACUAUGCAAGUAGUAGAUAUAAAAAAUAACAACAAUUUUAAUUACCCAAUUUAAUGAAUAAAGAUAAAUUAUGAUUUUGUCAAAUUAUAAUGCAUUGUUCUUUUAAAUAGAAGAUUGACGAUUGACUUAAACUGAAUCAAUAUUUGUAUGUAUACACAUUUCAAAAAUCAUUGAAAUAAAUUUGAAUUAUCGUAAAUGGAUUCCAUUUUAUAUUUAUUCUUAUAUAUACGUGUAGUAAUUUUUUUUAGGGUUAAUUAAGUAAAUGAUCUUUAUAAAUAUUCAGAAUUUUGUUUUUAGUUUCUACAAAAAAAAAAUCACACUUUUUAGUCCCUAUAAAAUUUUCCAUCAGCAUUUUUAGUCCCUAUAAAAUAUUUUCAUCAACAUUUUUGGUCCCUAAAAUGCUUAAGGAAAAUAUCAAAGGGACGAAAAAGUGUGAUUUUAUUUUGUAGGGACUAAAAACAAAACUGUGAAUAUUUUAUAGGGACUAAAAAUUUAAUUAACCAUUUUUUAUCAGGAACCUCUUAGGAGUAGUUCUUGAGUGUUCGAUCGAUAUAGCUCUUUUGGUUGGUACUUAGUGAAGGUUGGGAACUUACGAGUAGAAGAUCGAUUUCUUUUGGAAUUAGAGAAUACUACGACCUUUGGUUGGUUUCUACAACUAAGGGAAAUCAAAAAUUGGAGAAUAAGUUUACGAGACUUAAGUUGUUCGGGGAUCAACCCCCAUUCCCCAAGCAGUUGCAGAUUGUUUUGGAGGCAUGACUUGCAUGGGUGUUAUCGGUGGAUAUUUAUCAUGUUUGACAAUCAUAAGUGUUUAAGUGAAAAAUGUGAUGAAAACUCGGGUUGCUAGAUGGGCAUAUUUUCAAUCUCCAAUAUGUAUCAACAAUAAAUUUGAUAAACCCCGUAGAAGCCUUGACAAAUGCAUUUUAUUAAGUACUACAAAACAUUCUAAGAAUUUCAAGUCCAAUUCCUAAACAAGAACCUUCAUGCUAAACAAGGACUGCAUCUUCCUCAUCAUUAUGGAUUGCUACACGGCGCCCAUCACAUCAAAAUGACAUUGUGUGUAUGUUUGGAAACAACUAUUUUCCACGGUAUUACCACACAUUGGCAUGGUAGCCGCAUUUCUAACUGCAAAAAAUAACGUUAAAAUUACAUCAUGAUGCUCUUGAAGCGAAUCCAAGCACUAAAUAUCUGUGAAGAUGAUUACUGUAUUAGGAAUUAAUAAGAAGGCCGCCUCAGUUACACUCAAAUUCAUAGAUAGCUUCAAUACAACAUAUCAUUCAUGCUGCCCUCCAAAACAAUCUUAUCCAAGUCUUCCUGAGACAACAAGGUUUUUUU